GAUGAAGAACGCAGCAAAAUGCGAUAAGUAAUGUGAAUUGCAGAAUUCAGUGAAUCAUCGAAUCUUUGAACGCACAUUGCGCCCGCUGGUAUUCCGGCGGGCAUGUCUGUUCGAGCGUCAUUUCAACCCUCAAGCCCCCGGGUUUGGUGUUGGGGAUCGGCUCUGCCCUUCUGGGCGGUGCCGCCCCCGAAAUACAUUGGCGGUCUCGCUGCAGCCUCCAUUGCGUAGUAGCUAACACCUCGCAACUGGAACGCGGCGCGGCCAUGCCGUAAAACCCCAACUUCUGAAUGUUGACCUCGGAUCAGGUAGGAAUACCCGCUGAACUUAAGCAUAUCAAUAAGCGGAGGA
rnacentral:misc_RNA from 1 species